UGUGCUGUUCCCAUCUUAGCAUUUUAAAGAUCAGUAGCACAUAUUUAUGCUAGAAUUUUAUUGCCCUAAGUAGAUGAAACUUCUUUUGGAUAACCCACGGCCAUCUGUUUCACCUUGAAAUUUUAUGCCACUGAAAUUUUGUUUUCAGACUUUCUUGAGCUUUUAUAUAAUGCAGGCUUGGUUGAUGGCAGGGUUUGUGGGCUGGGAGAGUCCAGCAUGGAUUUUAUCCUUUUGGACAAUUCAGAGUGGUGGUAAUUUUUGCCCUUUUAGGGCAAAGAAGGUGCUGUGGGAGACCUGAGAGGAUCUGGGAAGGCUUGGGCAGUUUCUUCCAGCAGGAGUAGGCAAAGGAAGAGAAAGAGAGGGCAGAGCUGUUGUGCACAGAGGCACAGUCCUCUGCAGUUCACAGGGAUGCAUCCUGGUGAGAGCAUAGGACUGGAGGGCGAUGAGCUGGAAAAGGGAGAUAAGGGGACAGACCCUGAACUCUCUUGCCAGCUGAGCCAAGGCUUUUGCACGUUCUCUAGAGAUGAAUGAUUCUCGAGGAAGGAAUCUAUGUAGGGAUGGAGAAGCAGCAUAUCACGGUCUUGAGGUAGGUGUGAGCUUUUUAUUUUUAUCAAAAGGGAGAAUUUCUCAAAAGGCUAAACAUAAAAUUACCAGCAUGACCCAGCAACUCUACGACUAGGCAUAUACCCAAGAGAAUUGAAAAUGGAAACUCAAACAGAUACGUCUAUGCCAACAUCCACAGCAACACUAUUCACAAUAGCUAAAAAGUGGAAAACAGCCCAGAAUCUACCAACAGAUGAAGAGAGAAACACAAUGUGGUAUAUAUGUACAGGGGAGUAUCAGCCACAAAAAGCAGUGAUGCUCUGAUACACGCUACAACAUGGGUGAGCCUUGGAAACAUUUUGCUGAGUGAAAUAAGCCAGACACAAAAGGACGAAUACUGUAUGAUUCCACUUACA